CCCCUGUCUUUACCUUCGCUAUUUUUGCUUUCCACGUAUUGUUUGACCCAACCACGAUUGUAACACAACAAUGUUUGCUCGCUAAACAUUUUAAAAUCAACAAAAAUACAGUAAUAAUGAAGUACCAUUUAAUUUCAUACUUGGACUUUUACUAUAUGAAACUGUGAAAAUGCUUUGCAUUUUGAAAGUGUUUAAAAUUUGAUAUUUUUCUUUUUAUAUUGAAAAAUGCACGU